rnacentral:rRNA from 1 species
AGGACGAACGCUGGCGGCGUGCUUAACACAUGCAAGUCGAGCGGUAAGGCUCCUUCGGGAGUACACGAGCGGCGAACGGGUGAGUAACACGUGAGCAAUCUGCCCUUCACAUUGGAAUAACUUCCGGAAACGGAAGCUAAUACCGAAUACGACCACCGAUGGCAUCUUCUGGUGGUGGAAAGUUCCGGCGGUGAAGGAUGAGCUCGCGGCCUAUCAGCUUGUUGGUGAGGUAAUGGCCCACCAAGGCGACGACGGGUAGCCGGCCUGAGAGGGUGACCGGCCACGACUGGGACUGAGACACGGCCCAGACUCCUACGGGAGGCAGCAGUGGGGAAUAUUGGACAAUGGGCGAAAGCCUGAUCCAGCAACGCCGCGUGAGGGAUGACGGCCUUCGGGUUGUAAACCUCUUUCAGCAGGGACGAAGCGAAAGUGACGGUACCUGCAGAAGAAGCACCGGCCAACUACGUGCCAGCAGCCGC